CUUUCUCCUCCUAGAUGUUCACUCCUAAGUGCUGGAAGAUCUUUUGCUGGAACUCAGAAUGUUUCAAGUCUGCAGAAGGAUGAAGCAUGGAAAGUGAAUGUCUGCAUCCAUGGUUGCAAUCUUGAACAGGGUUAUCUAUGUGAAACGAUGGAAGCGCUUAAUGUUCCAUUAGCAGAUACACCUGUAGUGACAUUCUGGGAGGGGGAGAUAGUGGAUGCUAAAAAUUACACCUUUUUCACUAGCAAGUGGGAGGCAUCACCAGAGGAUGAUAUAAGACAUUGGUCCAAGUUCCCAUCAUUUAUGCCUCUUCUAGUAUUUGGUUACCUACCUAGCUUG